CACGUAGGGCGCAAGCGUUGUCCGGAAUUAUUGGGCGUAAAGAGCUCGUAGGUGGUUUGUUACGUCCGCUGUGAAAACCUAGGGCUUAACCCUGGGCUUGCAGUGGAUACGGGCAGACUAGAGGUAGGUAGGGGAGAAUGGAAUUCCUGGUGUAGCGGUGAAAUGCGUAGAUAUCGAGAGGAACACCAGUGGCGAAGGCGAGUCCCUGGACAACACCUGACACUGAGGCACGAAAGCUAGGGGAGCAAACAGG
rnacentral:rRNA from 1 species